UGCCGGGUUGUGGCAAUUAGAUAGGAUUACAAAUUCAAGCUAAGUUAGCCAGUGGGCUGGAUAGCAGGUGCUAGGUGACAGUGGUGUCAAAGGGAAGGGUUCUUCCAGAGGCUUGUAAUUUGUAAUCGGCAAACUGUAAGCUUUAUAUUAUUGUUUAAUAAUAUAAUCUCUGUACUAGUUGGUACGGGGACUUGGAUGUAGGCCAUAGAUUAAUAGGGGCCGAACCAAGUGAAAAUGUAAGUUACUAACUUAGAUGUUCUCCACGCAUCAACUGUGUCAUUAAUCGACGACUUCACUAAGACAAAUUUUUGUAGGUCUAUGGUCUUUCUUGGUUCGUCAUGGCAACUAUCCUUCUGGUACUAAAGGUAUGAAUAUUGAAAAUGACAAUGAAUGUCAAUAGUAUUCUGCACUCUUCUGUAUAGGUAGUUAUGUGCAUUACCAGGUGAGGCGCCACUCUGUUUCUUAUCUCUAAUCUCAGCAUGUUUGUGUACCUCCAGCUGCUAUCGAUGGGAAGACGGAAGUUUGGCACUGACUUUCAGCUCAUGUUCAGGAUUGUGAAGGUGCUUUUGUUCUUUGGAUUUGUAACAGUUAUGACCAUCUUAUUUCUUGUAUGUGGACUCACUAUAACGGACAUAUUUGCUGCUCUCCUUGCUUUCGCUCCCACUGGGUGGGCCUUUCUCUUGGUAAGUUGCAUUAUCAUAUAACUAUACGUAAAUUACUUUGUCAGUAACAUUUGUAUCUAGUACACGCGUAGUAAUACAGGUUUAGCACACUAACAAUGGUUUAAAGACUGGUUUUCAAAUGUUUGCCGGGGAAUGGUUCAACUAAAAACCUGUAUAUAUGCGCCCUCCGGUACCAACUGCAAUGCAUCUUUUUAACCCAGAAACAUAAUCUUUUAUUUGCUAUCUCAAAUUGAUGUGCACGAAAAAUAAGUAAGUUCUUGUGUUACUUGUUCUUUGCAGAUCGGCCAAGCAUGUAGGCCUGCUUUGAAAGGUAUAGGGUUCUGGAAUUCCUUAAUGGAGUUGGCUAGGGCAUAUGAAUGCAUGAUGUCUCUGGUGAUAUUCAUGCCAAUAGUUAUAUUAUCCUGGUUCCCUUUCGUAUCGGAGUUCCAAAUAAGGCUGCUCUUCAAUCAAGCUUUCAGCAGAGGCCUCCAGAUUUCGAUGAUUCUUGCAGGAAAAAAAGACAAGAAAUCAAACACUUAAAAUUUCCCAUAUUGAAGUCCACUUAUAUUACAUUCUAUUUAAUUCUGAGUCUUGUAUAUAGGAGCUAGCUAGUUAUCAAGAAAUUGUAUAAGAACAUAGAAUACCACACAACACAGCAGAUAUGUUAGAAUUAGUACCUUGGUGUAAUAUUACAGCUCAUUCUUGUCUGAUGUGCACUGAUAAGGAACUUCAGUAAAAUUAUACUCACCAGUCACCACAGUAGGUUCUUAUAGUCCAAUAUAUUUAUUGUGCAGACUGCAUAGGGCUAGUUAAUAUCAGAGAAAAAUGGUUUCUUAGAGCAGGGCCACUGUAUUCGGUUCGGUUAACCGAAAACUGUAUCAAAUAGCCGAAAUGAUUGCGAUUCGGUUAAUUGAAUUGAAUAUUUCAGUUCGAUAUCUCGACAGCCAAAAAUCUGAAUUUCGAUAUUUCGGUUUUCCGAUUUUAUCACCGUGAUUAAUUGAAAACCUAAUGAUUAACCAAAAUAGUUAUGAAAAUACUAAAAUAUAUUUAAGUUAAUAACAUAAAUACAGAUCAUCUUAUUUACACUCGAGUAACUUUACUGCUCUACAUACACUAGUUAGGCUGUGUUCACUUCACUUCAUGGAAUGAAAUGAGUGGAGAAUACAAUGAAAAAUUAUAUCGAAUUUUUAAAGAGAAAGAAGAAAGUAUGAAUUAAUAGUGACAAAAUAUGAGUGUAGUUAAAUUUCUUGUGAGAAAGAUUGUGAAGAAACAUGAUGUAAAAAUGGAAUGAGCAUUCCUUUUAAAACAUGAGGAUUAGAGUUAUAGUUAAAAUAGUAAGAUUGGAAUGAUCGAAGGAAUGAAAAUUAUAUACAUUUUCUUUGAUCAAUACCUUUUUAAUUCAUUCCAUUCACUCCAAGUAAACACAACCUAAUUAUACCUAAUUAUAUUAUCAUUGUCAGUGACUUAGCCAAAGCCUAAUCAAGGAAUCGAACAUCCAAUUCAAAGCCCCAACCGAGAAAGUGCAGUCCUGAAUCUUAAUUUCCUAAUCGAAUCUAUCAAUAUCAAUCAAGGAAUUGAAGCCCUCAAUAUCUAUCACAUUGUUCUCUGCAUCCAACUAAAUCAUUAUUACCGUACACAAGUUAAAAAUGGAAUUUUAUACACCAAACUGUCCCAAAAAUAUCAUUAUUUCAAAAAUAAAAAGUCAUGACAGUCCGCAUCAAUAAAUUUCUCAAUAAUUUUAGACAACAUCCGCAUCAUCUUUUAUUACAAUUAAAAUCUCGAAAAAUAUAUUUAUUAAAAAGAGGAAAAAUCUGAUUAGGUGUAUCGCGUGCAAGAUAGUGUUAGCCCUUAGUUUUUACUGAUGAUUAGCUUUGAAUAUCAGAUAGUAUGUUGACUAAGUCUGAUGCAUCAUAUUGUUCUAUCUUUCAGGGCUUACUGGUUUAACAAACUUGUGUGUGGAUAAACCAGAAUUAUCUUAUCCUAUUGUUUCAUGUUUAUCCAACUUAUUUUAUAUUUAAACUGUUAAACUCUAACGUUUAUCUCUUAACAGUUUAACUUGUUCAAACAGUCAUAUUGUAACAGAUUUAUUCUUCAGAUUCUAUCUUUGUAUAUCUGUUACAUUGUCCUAAUUAUUAGCUUGGUUAGUUUUAUUCCUAACAGCUGUAAUUCAAAUUCCCAACAGCUAUUUCUUUACAGGCUAUAUAUAUUCAGCUGGGAUUUCAACUCAGACUACAAGAGCUUUCAAUCAUCUUCUAUUACAGAGCGUUCAUUCACUAUUUCAGUCAGCCUUAGAAGAUAUACAAUCUGAGUUGUACUUAAAUAUAUUUAUAUUCACUUGUGCCGGGUUGUGGCAAUUAGAUAGGAUUACAAAUUCAAGCUAAGUUAGCCAGUGGGCUGGAUAGCAGGUGCUAGGUGACAGUGGUGUCAAAGGGAAGGGUUCUUCCAGAGGCUUGUAAUUUGUAAUCGGCAAACUGUAAGCUUUAUAUUAUUGUUUAAUAAUAUAAUCUCUGUACUAGUUGGUACGGGGACUUGGAUGUAGGCCAUAGAUUAAUAGGGGCCGAACCAAGUGAAAAUUCUUGGUGUUGUUCUUGUUUAUUUGUCUGUCAUUUAUUCACUGCGUUUUAUCUGCUGUUAACUGCUUCAGUUUAUAUAAAAGAGACAGUCUCAUUUGCAAUUGAGACAGACUCAUUUGUCUGACAGAUUAAGUUUUGUGCCCGGUUUAAAUU
rnacentral:lncRNA from 1 species